rnacentral:lncRNA from 11 species
ACCGCAAGUCACUUUUGCAAGGAUGUUGCCCAGGGGGCACCCAGAUGUUUUGAUUUUUUUACCAUCCUUGCAGGAAGCUUCUCUCGUGUCCCCACAUGGAGCAGAAGCUGAUAGAGGGAGCUCAUUCACACUCUCUCCAGGUUGGAUUCGAACCGGCAACCUUCAGGUCAGCAACCAACCUUCAAGUCAGCAGUCCUGCCAGCACAAGGGUUUAACCCAAUGUGCCACUGGGGGCUCCACCAGAAAAGAUACAUUCAAUUAUUUUGGACAAAUGAACCAAUGGAGAGAUUGUCUGAAACAACCCUACAUUUCAGAGGCAAGAACACGAUCUUUGAAGAGGCUUUCAGUGGACUCUGCUCUCUUCCAACACUAUAUGAAAAGGCCUGGGGAAUGAAAGGCUGUAAUGGAAUGGACUACAUUUCCACUAUGUCAAAUCAGUAUUCCAGAGGUUUCUGACAUAAAAUGUAACUAUAAUUUGCUACACUGCUCAUGUGGCUUGCCCUUAGGGGAAAUCUUCAGUUAUCUGUUUUGUCCUGAGGCAGGUAAUAAAGCUCAUCAAAGGACUACUGACAGAUGUCUCCUUCCUUCUAUGCCAAAGCGACAGACUUUAGCAAGCAUGGGCUGUGUGCAGAAAAAUCCUUCUUCCUCUUCUCUCCCCAAGUCAAAUAUUUUAUGUAGCCAGCUCAUUUAUAAUAGCAGUCGAUGUCUAGGCAAAUGGAAAGCAUAUGUACCUGCUCACACAGAGAGAGUAAGAAAGAAAGCACUAAAUAUUUAAUGGAGACAUAAAAUGUCAUUGAAUGAGAGUUCAAAAGUUAAAUACUAAAGGAAAUAAUCAAUGAUUUAA